rnacentral:rRNA from 1 species
GCGCGUAGCGCGACGAGGUUAUUCUGAGUGAUUUCCGCUGAGGAAAUCUUUUCCUAGAUCUAAAACGUCUGGGGAAUAAGGGGAGGGCAAGUCUGGUGUCAGCCGCCGCGGUAAUACCAGCUCCUCGAGUGGUCAGGGCGUUUAUUGGGCCUAAAGCAUCCGUAGCCUGCUCAGUAGGUCUCCUGUUAAAUCCAACGGCUCAACCGUUGGUCUGCAGGAGAUACCGCUGGGCUAGGAGGCGGGAGAGGCGGACGGUACUCCGAGGGUAGGGGUAAAAUCCUUUGAUCCCCGGAAGACCACCAAUGGCGAAGGCGGUCCGCCAGAACGCGCUCGACGGUGAGGGAUGAAAGCUGGGGGAGCGAACCGGAUUAGAUA